CAGCAGCCGCGGUAAUACGUAGGUGGCAAGCGUUGUCCGGAAUUAUUGGGCGUAAAGCGCGCGCAGGCGGCCUCUUAAGUCUGAUGUGAAAGCCCCCGGCUCAACCGGGGAGGGCCAUUGGAAACUGGGAGGCUUGAGUAUAGGAGAGAAGAGUGGAAUUCCACGUGUAGCGGUGAAAUGCGUAGAGAAGUGGAGGAACACCAGUGGCGAAGGCGACUCUUUGGCCUAUAACUGACGCUGAGGCGCGAAAGCGUGGGGAGCAAACAGGAUUAGAUACCCCAGUAGUCCCUGUCUCUUAUAC
rnacentral:rRNA from 1 species